rnacentral:rRNA from 1 species
AUUGAACGCUGGCGGCAUGCCUUACACAUGCAAGUCGAACGGCAGCACGGGGGCAACCCUGGUGGCGAGUGGCGAACGGGUGAGUAAUGCAUCGGAACGUGUCCUCUUGUGGGGGAUAACCAGUCGAAAGAUUGGAUAAUACCGCAUGAGAUCGCAAGAUGAAAGCGGGGGACCGCAAGGCCUCGCGCGAGAGGAGCGGCCGAGGCCGGAGGAGCGAGGUGGUGGGGUAAAAGCCUACCAAGGCGACAAUCCGUAGCUGGUCUGAGAGGACGACCAGCCACACUGGGACGGAGACACGGCCCAGACUCCUACGGGAGGCAGCAGUGGGGAAUUUUGGACAAUGGGCGCAAGCCUGAUCCAGCCAUGCCGCGUGUGUGAAGAAGGCCUUCGGGUUGUAAAGCACUUUCGGACGGAACGAAAUCGCGCGGACGAACAUUCCGCGUGGAUGACGGUACCGUAAGAAGAAGCACCGGCUAACUACGUGCCAGCCGCCGCCGUAA